AAGCCAUUCAGNUGGUUCGUGCCGGAGCUNACGCGUUAAGUAUGCCGCCUGGGGAGUACGGUCNCAAGGCCGAAACUCAAAGGAAUUGACGGGGGCCCGCACAAGCGGUGGAGCAUGUGGUNUAAUUCGACGCAACGCGAAGAACCUUACCUGGGCUCGAACGGCUGCUGACUGCCGAUGGAAACAUUGGUUUUCCCGCAAGGGACAGUAGUCGAGGUGCUGCAUGGCUGUCGUCAGCUCGUGUCGUGAGAUGUUGGGUUAAGUCCCGCAACGAGCGCAACCCUUGUCCUGUGUUGCUAACCGAAAGGUGCACUCUCAGGAGACCGCCAGCGAUAAGUUGGAGGAAGGUGGGGAUGACGUCAAGUCAUCAUGGCCUUUAUGUCCAGGGCUACACACGUGCUACAAUGGACGGUACAAAGCGCUGCAAACCCGCGAGGGGGAGCUAAUCGCAAAAAACUGUUCUCAGUUCGGAUUGCAGGCUGCAACUCGCCUGCAUGAAGCUGGAAUCGCUAGUAAUGGCAUAUCAGAACGAUGCCGUGAAUACGUUCCCGGGCCUUGUACACACCGCCCGUCACAUCACGAAAGUGGGUUGUACUAGAAGCCUGCAUGCUAACCCGCAAGGGAGGCAGCGGUCCAAGGUAUGACUCAUGAUUGGGGUGAAGUCGUAANCAAGGUACC
rnacentral:rRNA from 1 species